rnacentral:rRNA from 1 species
UACGUAGGCAGCAAGCGUUGUUCGGAAUUACUGGGCGUAAAGAGUGUGUAGGCGGUGCUCUAAGUUCGGUGUGAAAUCUCCCGGCUUAACUGGGAGGGUGCGCCGGAAACUGGAAUGCUUGAGCGCGGGAGAGGAAAGCGGAAUUCCUGGUGUAGCGGUGAAAUGCGUAGAUAUCAGGAGGAACACCUGUGGUGUAGACGGCUUUCUGGACCGUAGCUGACGCUGAGACACGAAAGCGUGGGUAGCAAACAGG